rnacentral:misc_RNA from 1 species
GAAAUGCAAUAAAUAAUAUAAAUUAUAGAAUUUAGUAAAUCAUCAAAUCUUUAAACGUAUAUUACGCCCUUUGGUAUUCUAUAGGGUAUGCCUAUUCGAGCGUUAUCUACAUCCUUAAGCUUUACUUAGUAUUGGGCGUCUGUCCCGCCUUCGCGCGUGGACUCGCCCUAAAUAUAUUAGUAGUAGUCCUUAUUUCCUCUCGCGCAGCAUAUUGCGCUUCUUGAGGCUGUGGCGGUCUAUAUUUAAUAAGCUAAACCCCCCUAUCUUUAACCUUGGAUUAGGUAGGGAUACCCGCUGAACUUAAGC